GGCGAACGGGUGAGUAAUGCAUCGGAACGUGCCCAUGUCGUGGGGGAUAACGUAGCGAAAGCUACGCUAAUACCGCAUACGCCCUGAGGGGGAAAGCGGGGGAUUCUUCGGAACCUCGCGCGAUUGGAGCGGCCGAUGUCGGAUUAGCUAGUAGGUGAGGUAAAGGCUCACCUAGGCGACGAUCCGUAGCGGGUCUGAGAGGAUGAUCCGCCACACUGGGACUGAGACACGGCCCAGACUCCUACGGGAGGCAGCAGUGGGGAAUUUUGGACAAUGGGCGCAAGCCUGAUCCAGCCAUGCCGCGUGAGUGAAGAAGGCCUUCGGGUUGUAAAGCUCUUUCGGCCGGGAAGAAAUCGUGGUCUCUAACAUAGGCCAUGGAUGACGGUACCGGACUAAGAAGCACCGGCUAACUACGUGCCAGCAGCCGCGGUAAUACGUAGGGUGCGAGCGUUAAUCGGAAUUACUGGGCGUAAAGCGUGCGCAGGCGGUUUUGUAAGACAGAUGUGAAA
rnacentral:rRNA from 1 species